rnacentral:rRNA from 1 species
CCUACGGGGGGCAGCAGUGAGGAAUAUUGGUCAAUGGACGAGAGUCUGAACCAGCCAAGUAGCGUGAAGGAUGACUGCCCUAUGGGUUGUAAACUUCUUUUAUAUGGGAAUAAAAUGUUCCACGUGUGGGAUUUUGUAUGUACCAUAUGAAUAAGGAUCGGCUAACUCCGUGCCAGCAGCCGCGGUAAUACGGAGGAUCCGAGCGUUAUCCGGAUUUAUUGGGUUUAAAGGGAGCGUAGGUGGAUUGUUAAGUCAGUUGUGAAAGUUUGCGGCUCAACCGUAAAAUUGCAGUUGAAACUGGCAGUCUUGAGUACAGUAGAGGUGGGCGGAAUUCGUGGUGUAGCGGUGAAAUGCUUAGAUAUCACGAAGAACUCCGAUUGCGGAGGCAGUUCACUGGACUGCAACUGACACUGAGGCUCGAAAGUGUGGGUAUCAAACAGGAUUAGAUACCCGAGUAGUC